rnacentral:rRNA from 1 species
GAUGAACGCUGGCGGCGUGCCUAAUACAUGCAAGUCGAGCGAACAGAUGAGGAGCUUGCUCCUCUGACGUUAGCGGCGGACGGGUGAGUAACACGUGGAUAACCUACCUAUAAGACUGGGAUAACUUCGGGAAACCGGAGCUAAUACCGGAUAAUAUAUUGUACCGCAUGGUUCAAUAGUGAAAGACGGUUUUGCUGUCACUUAUAGAUGGAUCCGCGCCGCAUUAGCUAGUUGGUAAGGUAACGGCUUACCAAGGCAACGAUGCGUAGCCGACCUGAGAGGGUGAUCGGCCACACUGGAACUGAGACACGGUCCAGACUCCUACGGGAGGCAGCAGUAGGGAAUCUUCCGCAAUGGGCGAAAGCCUGACGGAGCAACGCCGCGUGAGUGAUGAAGGUCUUCGGAUCGUAAAACUCUGUUAUUAGGGAAGAACAAAUGUGUAAGUAACUAUGCACGUCUUGACGGUACCUAAUCAGAAAGCCACGGCUAACUACGUG